rnacentral:rRNA from 1 species
UCCGUAGGUGAACCUGCGGAAGGAUCAUUACCGAGUGUAGGGUUCCUAGCGAGCCCAACCUCCCAUCCGUGUUUACUGUACCUUAGUUGCUUCGGCGGGCCCGCCAUUCAUGGCCGCCGGGGGCUCUCAGCCCCGAGCCCGCGCCCGCCGGAGACACCACGAACUCUGUCUGAUCUAGUGAAGUCUGAGUUGAUUGUAUCGCAAUCAGUUAAAACUUCCAACAAUGGAUCUCUUGGUUCCGGAAUCGAUGAAGAACGCAGCGAAAUGCGAUAACUAGUGUGAAUUGCAGAAUUCCGUGAAUCAUCGAGUCUUUGGACGCACAUUGCGCCCCCUGGUAUUCCGGGGGGCAUGCCUGUCCGAGCGUCAUUGCUGCCCAUCAAGCACGGCUUGUGUGUUGGGUCGUCGUCCCCUCUCCGGGGGGGACGGGCCCCAAAGGCAGCGGCGGCACCGCGUCCGAUCCUCGAGCGUAUGGGGCUUUGUCACCGGCUCUGUAGGCCCGGCCGGCGCUUGCCGGACGCAAAUCAAUCUUUUCCAGGUUGACCUCGGAUCAGGUAGGGAUACCCGCUGAACUUAAGCAUAUCAAUAAGCGGAGGA